AUCCUGGCUCAGGAUGAACGCUGGCGGCGUGCUUAACACAUGCAAGUCGAACGAUGAUCUCCAGCUUGCUGGGGGGAUUAGUGGCGAACGGGUGAGUAACACGUGAGUAACCUGCCCUUGACUCUGGGAUAAGCCUGGGAAACUGGGUCUAAUACCGGAUAUGACCAUCUGGCGCAUGUCAUGGUGGUGGAAAGCUUUUUUGUGGUUUUGGAUGGACUCGCGGCCUAUCAGCUUGUUGGUGGGGUAAUGGCCUACCAAGGCGACGACGGGUAGCCGGCCUGAGAGGGUGACCGGCCACACUGGGACUGAGACACGGCCCAGACUCCUACGGGAGGCAGCAGUGGGGAAUAUUGCACAAUGGGCGCAAGCCUGAUGCAGCGACGCCGCGUGAGGGAUGACGGCCUUCGGGUUGUAAACCUCUUUCAGUAGGGAAGAAGCGUAAGUGACGGUACCUGCAGAAGAAGCGCCGGCUAACUACGUGCCAGCAGCCGCGGUAAUACGUAGGGCGCAAGCGUUAUCCGGAAUUAUUGGGCGUAAAGAGCUCGUAGGCGGUUUGUCGCGUCUGCUGUGAAAGACCGGGGCUCAACUCCGGUUCUGCAGUGGGUACGGGCAGACUAGAGUGCAGUAG
rnacentral:rRNA from 1 species